rnacentral:sRNA from 1 species
AUCAUUAAAAAGUGAAAACCUAAGCAAAAAAUGGAAUCACAAGAAAACAGAAAACCACGACACUAGACAUAUGCAGAGGUUGUCCCUUUUCCCAGUGGUCCUGUGGCUCUGGGAAGGAGAGAAUAUGGAAUCCAAGUGAUGUUUCCCCAAGGCCCUCUGCAGUAAGCAGGAAGCCAUUCCCACCUGCCUGCAAUCCCCACUCAGCCUGGCCAUCCCCCAGUGAGUGGUCAGACAAGGUGUGGCCUGGAUCAUGGCUCUAGAAUUCUGUAAGCUUAUGGGGAAAUAUUAGGCUCAGGAGGUGGAUGCAGAGUCUCCCUACCUCCUCCUCCUGCUUUGCUGUAGGCCAGAGUGGACUGGGCAAAUCAACGCUGGUCAACACGCUCUUCAAAUCCCAAGUGAGCCGCAAGGCCUCCAGCUGGAACCGGGAGGAGAAGAUCCCCAAGACAGUGGAGAUCAAAGCUAUCGGGCAUGUGAUAGAGGAAGGCGGUGUCAAAAUGAAGCUGACCGUCAUCGACACCCCAGGCUUUGGAGACCAAAUCAACAAUGAAAACUGCUGGGAGCCCAUUGAGAAGUACAUCAAUGAGCAGUACGAGAAGUUCCUGAAGGAGGAGGUCAACAUCG